UGUUCCGUCUCCGGGUGGGUCACUUGCUUGGUCGGGUCUGAAGGCCACGCAUUAUUAUCGCUGUUUUAGCCCCCACGGCACUGUCUCGUGGUGGCUAGCUGACAAUCGUCGUGUCUUCUUUUGGAAAUUUCUCUCUCGGAUCUGUUCUCCGUCCAUAUAAUUGCGGCUACUGUUGCUUCCCAUCGAUGAAUCGACCACUGCCGACGGUGAAGGAUUUCGAGCUACUCUCUGGGGACAUCUGUCGAAUACCGCUAGUUCAUCAAUGGCUGCUCAGGUAUUAAGUUUGUGGUGUCUGUGAAAAUUGAUCUGUGUGAAGAAACCAUUUGUUUUCUGAGGUUGAAAACAUGCCUGGUGGUUGGCCAUUUGGACUGGAGAGCAUGACCGUCAGAUUGAGCAUGGGGAACUUUCAAGCUGCUGUAACAUCAACAAAUUCACAUCAUAUGCAUUCAGAUAGUUUCGCCUCGUACUCUUCCUCCGACCUCGACACACUGUCCACCAGAUCCUUCUUUCAAGACCGCAGCAUCACUCUGGGCAGUUUAAUUGGGAUGACACCAGUAGACAGAAAUGUACGCCUCGCGAAAUCAUUUUUGUCUGAAGAGUUGGAGCAUGCUUCAAGGAUAAACUUACCGCAUGAUUCUGCAGAGAGCGAUGAAGAGAUGUUCUCCUGCUGCAUUUGUGUUGCAUUUAUGGACAAUGUUCUUCCCGGCAGGACUGGUUCAAGAUACUGAAGCAGGUUGUCCAGUUGAUGUGUGCCAUGGCAACCUCGACUUACUUGCAACUCAAAUGCUUGCUUGAUCUCUAGAAUUGUUUGUACUGCACGAAAACAAGGUGUACUUGGCAUUGCAUAUUUCACUGAUGAAUCAUUGUUGUGGGACAGAAACUUAGUGUUGCAAAGCAAUGUAUUUUCAGAUACUUUUAAGUACCCCAGAAAGAGUAUUCAAAGUGCAGGAGGCACUGCCACUAUUUUCUUGUUUAGAUAGCAUUGGUGUGUAACACAUUGAAAGUACUUUUAUGACCAAUAGAUACACCAUUAUUUUCA